GCCGAGAAGCUGGUUUCCGAGCUGGAGGGGAAGACCGUGCACGAGGUGAUCGCUGCAGGCAAGGAGAAGCUCAAGGGUUUCGGCGGCGGUGGUGG
rnacentral:ribozyme from 1 species